CCCUGCUGGUCGCAUCUGGUUCUUGCAUCUUCAGAAUUAAAUUAGACAUUCAUAUUUUUAAACCCAAAUUACUGACAAACACUUUGUAAAUUUAAAUAACAUUGUUGAAGUCUGUAAUCCAUACAACGUGCUGAUAUGUCUGGAGUCAUAUUAAAUAUUUCUCUGGCUUAUAAUGAACUCAUUCUCAUCCAUCUGACUCACUUAGAAGAUUCACAACUUUUAGCUGUUUGAGAAACAUGGAAAUUAAGAUUAUUCUGUUUUAAUCUGUAUCUGGUAAUCUGCUUGUCUAAGAUAAUCUUAGGUGUUAUCCUGAUUUUUAUGAUAAAUAAAUGAUCAACUUGUGUUGUUGAUUGUGUUUGCUUGGAGGAAAUGGACCAAAGGGAAAAAUCUUACGGAUACAAAGUCAUCCGAAAGCCAGAUCCAGACGUGCCUCUGAAAAUGUCUGAUGCCUUCGUCCUCACAGCCGGUCUGGAAACGGCUGAAGUUUGUCCUGAGAUGAAUACCAAAAAACUGAGGACGGAGAAGCUGCAGGUGGAGCAUCUGGUGUCACUUUUUCACACAAUGUGAAUCAUCACAUGGAUGCUCAUCCGUCUCUUCUCAUGCAAAAAGCGGCUUCCCUGCGCUCAGACAGAGAGAAGAUUCUGGAAGUGAUCAGAGAUCUGAAGCAGCAGGUACUGAAAAGGUUCCGGUUUUUCCUGAAGGACGUUGAGUCGUCG